UACGUAGGGUGCAAGCGUUAAUCGGAAUUACUGGGCGUAAAGCGUGCGCAGGCGGUUCGCUAAGACAGAUGUGAAAUCCCCGGGCUUAACCUGGGAACUGCAUUUGUGACUGGCGGGCUAGAGUAUGGCAGAGGGGGGUAGAAUUCCACGUGUAGCAGUGAAAUGCGUAGAGAUGUGGAGGAAUACCGAUGGCGAAGGCAAUCCCCUGGGCCUGCACUGACGCUCAUGCACGAAAGCGUGGGGAGCAAACAGG
rnacentral:rRNA from 1 species